rnacentral:rRNA from 1 species
GUGAGGAAUAUUGGACAAUGGGCGCAAGCCUGAUCCAGCCAUGCCGCGUGCAGGAAGACGCAUCUAUGGUGUGUAAACUGCUUUUGUACGGGAAGAAACACUCCCUCGUGAGGGAGCUUGACGGUACCGUAAGAAUAAGGAUCGGCUAACUCCGUGCCAGCAGCCGCGGUAAUACGGAGGAUCCAAGCGUUAUCCGCAAUCAUUGGGUUUAAAGGGUCCGUAGGCGGGUUAAUAAGUCAGUGGUGAAAGCCCAUCGCUCAACGAUGGAACGGCCAUUGAUACUGUUAGACUUGAAUUACAAGGAAGUAACUAGAAUAUGUAGUGUAGCGGUGAAAUGCUUAGAUAUUACAUGGAAUACCAAUUGCGAAGGCAGGUUACUACUUGUGGAUUGACGCUGAUGGACGAAAGCGUGGGGAGCGAACAGGAUUAGAAACCCUAGUAGUCC